UACGUAGGGUGCAAGCGUUGUCCGGAAUUAUUGGGCGUAAAGAGCUCGUAGGCGGUUUGUCGCGUCUGCUGUGAAAACCCGAGGCUCAACCUCGGGCCUGCAGUGGGUACGGGCAGACUAGAGUGCGGUAGGGGAGAAUGGAAUUCCUGGUGUAGCGGUGGAAUGCGCAGAUAUCAGGAGGAACACCGAUGGCGAAGGCAGUUCUCUGGGCCGUUACUGACGCUGAGGAGCGAAAGCAUGGGGAGCGAACAGG
rnacentral:rRNA from 1 species